rnacentral:rRNA from 1 species
CCUACGGGAGGCAGCAGUGGGGAAUAUUGCACAAUGGGGGAAACCCUGAUGCAGCGACGCCGCGUGAGUGAAGAAGUUUUUCGGUAUGUAAAGCCCUAUCAGCAGGGGAGAUAAUGACGGUACCUGACUAAGAAGCCCCGGCUCACUACGUGCCAGCAGCCGCGGUUAUACGUAGGGGGCAAGCGUUAUCCGGAUUUACUGGGUGUAAAGCGGGCGCAGACGGCAGCGCAAGCCAGGAGUGAAAGCCCGGGGCCCAAACCCGGGCCUGACCUUGGAACUGCGCGGCUGGAGUGCAGGAGGGGCAGGCGGAAUGCCUGGUGUAGCGGUGAAAUGCGUAGAUAUCAGGAGGAACACCGGUGGCGAAGGCGGCCUGCUGGACUGAGACUGACGUUGAGGCACGAAAGCGUGGGGAGCAAACAGGAUUAGAUACCCUUGUAGUC